rnacentral:lncRNA from 1 species
CGAUUCGAGAAAUGGAGAAAGAGUAAUUAAUAUGCAAGUAAGGGACCAAGACCUAAUAGCUUAACCUGUUGAAUCAGAAUUGGGUUCCUGACUUACAUAUUGGACUCUUUGAUGGACUCUCUCGAGGUAUUCUCCCCUAACAAAUUGAUAUCAGAGCUUCAAGUUACAAAAACUGGGCUAUUCAUGGGCAAAUAGAUUCUUCUCGGAGUUGGAUCGGUGAAAAUUCGUCAAGGGUUGGCAGGGGUCUAGAAUGCAGUUUGAAUAUUGAAAAAGAGUGGGUUCAUGAUUGAAAGAAGAGAUGACCUUAAGUGAUAUGGUGGGCUUGCAUUGGUUGUGUCCCACGUCGGUCCGAAAAAUGAAGAAAGAGUAGUUAAUAUACAAGUAAGACCCGAGAAAUGAAGAGAGAGUAGUUAAUAUGCAAGUAAGACCACAAGACCUAAUAAAUAGCUUAAACUUUUGGAUCAGAAUUAAAUUCCUGACUUACAUAUUAAUUCCUGACUUACAUAUUAGGCUUUUUGGUGAACUCUCUCGAGUCGAGGUGUUCUCCCCUAACAUUAGCAACAUGUAUGUAUACACAGGGGACUCGACAGAAAGAUGUCCCAUAAAUGCUGGUGGUGGGGCGGUUUAAUUUGUUGUGAGGCGGGUGCAACUUGUUGGGCUGGCACGAACACGAAGAAGAAGAAAGAAGAAGAAAGCUGAUGAGGCCGAUUUAUAAUCGAUCUGUGGUUGGUUCAUUCAUUUCAGGCGAUACAUGCACAAAGAAAGAAAGUGAAAAUCGUCGCUUGGCUCAUGACUGCCACACAAAUCCCAUUCAUGCGAAGCUUUCGGUCUUCAACAUCAAAAGUGAGAACAAAGACCUUUUGUAAUUUUGACUGAAAUACUCCUACCCACUGCCAGUUUGCUUCCUCUAAUUCCCGUGAUGAUACUCGUUUUAUGUCCGCAUCAGGCGCAGCAGAGAUUGCUGAAAAUAAAAAUAGUAUAAAAAUUUUUAUGGAGUCCAAGUUUGGCACGUACGGAGUGUGAUUGCACUUUUCCUUAUGGUCUCAUCCUGAUUC